UACGGGGGAGCAAGCGUUGUUCGGAUUUACUGGGCGUAAAGGGCGCGUAGGCGGCCACCGCAAGUCGACUGUGAAAUCUCCGGCUUAACCCGGAAAGGUCAGCCGAUACUGCGGGCUAGAGUGCAGAAGGGGCAACUGGAAUUCUCGGUGUAGCGGUGAAAUGCGUAGAUAUCGAGAGGAACACCUGCGGCGAAGGCGGGUGCUGGCUGACACUGACGCUGAUGAGCGAAAGCAUGGGGAGCGAACAGG
rnacentral:rRNA from 1 species